rnacentral:rRNA from 1 species
UACGUAGGUGGCAAGCGUUGUCCGGAAUUAUUGGGCGUAAAGCGCGCGCAGGCGGUUCUUUAAGUCUGAUGUGAAAGCCCACGGCUCAACCGUGGAGGGUCAUUGGAAACUGGAGAACUUGAGUACAGAAGAGGAAAGCGGAAUUCCACGUGUAGCGGUGAAAUGCGUAGAGAUGUGGAGGAACACCAGUGGCGAAGGCGGGUCUCUGGGCCGAUACUGACGCUGAGGAGCGAAAGCGUGGGGAGCGAACAGG